UGGGGAAUCUUAGACAAUGGGGGAAACCGAGAUCUAGCCAUGCCGCGUGAGCGAUGAAGGCCUUAGGGUUGUAAAGCUCUUUCUAGUGGGAGGCGGUACCACCAGAAGAAGCCCCGGCUAACUCCGUGCCAGCAGCCGCGGUAAUACGGAGGGGGCGAGCGUUGUUCGGAAUUACUGGGCGUAAAGCGCACGUAGGCGGACUGGAAAGUCAGGGGGGAAAUCCCGGGGCGCAACCCCGGAACUGCCUUUGAAACUCCCGGUCUUGAGGUCGUGAGAGGUGAGUGGAAUUCCGAGUGUAGAGGUGAAAUUCGUAGAUAUUCGGAGGAACACCAGUGGCGAAGGCGGCUCACUGGCACGAUACUGACGCUGAGGUGCGAAAGCGUGGGGAGCAAACAGGAUUAGAUACCCCAGUAGU
rnacentral:rRNA from 1 species